AUUUGGCUGUGCUCCUGGUAUGACAGACCGGUUUGGGGAACACAAGCGUUCAGUUGUGUCGACGCCAAGUCGAAGCACUGGUUCAACAUUGACGCCAGACACGUUGUCCUGUCUAGCACACCCAAUGCUGCCCAACCGGUUUAUCACAAGAUACGACGUGAACAUCACCAUGAAGCCCCGACGUCCUUUGAACUUUCAAGAAAUGGUUGGGUUUGGUCAAGGGACUGGUAUUGGAUCUGAUAUAUUAUCAUUGUUGUCACACCUUUUCGCUAAAUAUGAGGUCUUGAAAAUGCUUGGUAUUGCUCCUUGUGAGGUGUUACCCAACGUUAAUGACGCCUGUCUGUAUAAGUGGUACAUACUUGACACCUAUGGCGAAGGAUGAGCCAGUUAUUUUCGAGUUUGUACUUUGGGUGCAUCUCGUUCCUCGGGUUGCAUUGCACCCGCGACCCCAUAGGAGUUCCUGGUCUUGUCUCUUCGCCCCCAACCCCGAUAAACUCUAUGUACCGUGAACGAAUGCUCAUCAGGUCGACAGCUAUUUGACGACGUAAAUCCAUCCAUAUUAACUGGCGCUGCGGCUGCGCUCAAUAGACUCCGUUGGGGAGUCUGAGCCUGAUAGGGUGUACCAGUCCAGCCGGUUAUGUACGGUUGGUAUGCUCUAUGAUAUGGAUCUCCAGCCACCUGUCAGCUAGGGGCAGACCCCAGUGUCUCAACCCUGGGUCUCAGAGGCGGUAACUUCUAGUCAGGCAGCGCGCUAUGUCUGGUUAGGCGACAUGGGUUACCAGGGCAUCCACAGCCAAAAUGGUUUGCACAUGGAGGUCAUCGCGACCGACUUGUGAGGGGGAAGAAGUGAUGUCCAUGGCGGUUUCAAAUUGAUCUGACGACCCCCGCGUCUUCUGGACAGGGAGGGGUUCAUGUGGCCAAAUCCUGUCAGCUAAAUCCUAUCGUUAGCAUCGUUCGCGGUACAUGGAAACCAAGGGCAUGGAACCCUUUUUUGUCUUGGUUUAAUUUCUCUGAGGAUUUCAAUGAUGAUAUAUAUAUUUAGAUCCACAGGUAUAGUCGGUACAUGUGGCGACUCGCCACAUGAACAUUUUAAAAGUUUUUUUCGAGCAUUGUUAUAAGUUAUGAGAAUAAAUUUCUUCUUUGGACGUGUUUUUUUUUACCAGAAUGACAAUCAAAAAGUUUGUCACUGGAGAAUUUCCCCAUCCCCCACCCCAGCCCUAGAAUAAUAUACAGACUAAAUAGUGUCUUUGGACUGUACUGGUAAUAUAGGUCAGUCACAAAAAAUAAAAUAUAUAUUGGACUGUACUGGUAAUAUAGGUCAGUCACGAAGAAUAGAAUAUGUAUUGGACUGUACUGGUAAUAUAGGUCAGUCACGAAAAAUGAAAUAUAUAUUGGACUGUACUGGUAAUAGAGGUCAGUCAAAAAAAAAGAAAUAUAUAUUGGACUGUACUGGUAAUAUAGGUCAGUCACGAAAAUAUCUGAAAGUCUGUGCCCCAUUGUUGACGAAUAUAAUAUCGUGAGGACUUUAUCAAUAGUCACGGUCCCUGGCCCCUCCCACAUAAAAAUGAUUAGCAAGGUCACUGCAGGCAAUAGCUUCAGCAUUGUUAUUGUAUAAACAUGUCUUAAACAUUAUAAACGGCCCUAUUUGUGGGGUUACAUUGGGUUCUUGCUGGGGUAAUGAUGUCCAUGUCCGAUUCUGCGUUUUGUGGACUUGUAAAUCAGUCCAGCAGUGACAUUGCGUUUUGUGGACAUGUAAGUCUGUCCCGCAGUACCAAGUUUCACCCCAGCAAUUACCAAUAAGACCUGCACGUGACCUUAAAGUAAAUAGCUAUGCAAGUGUGGUCGAGACAAAACGAGAUGUAUGCAUUGGAAGAAGGAAAUAUGCGAAGAGUAGCUGGAACUGUCUGUUCAGCUCUCGUUUAUGAAACCAUGGGCGAUUUGAAAGACGUCUCCUGAACAGAUCGCCCAUUGUUCACUGAAGCAGCAUUCGAAUUGUCUCCAAUUUUUUUCAGGUGGAUUGCUCCAUCUUGUGUGGUUUCGCUGUCCCGACUCAAGAAUCGAGCCAACGCGACCGAGGCCACUUCUGAGAGAUAAAUAUUCAGGAUGCCAGAUUUGUGGAACACAAUUGAGGCCAGUAGUCAAGAGCCAUGAUCAGGGAACAGCAGUUCCCAGCGGAAUUGACCCUUUUCUUGUUGUAAUUCAUGCUGUUGGCCCAGAAUGGGUUGACACUCACCUGUUUUCGACCCUGAAAAUUAAACAUCGAACAUUGUUACUCUUUGUUAAAAGUGAAUCUUGCAAAAUAUGUGCUUAUUCCUGAAACAAUAGCACUUCAUGUAUGUACUCGCUGAUCCAGAAUAUUGCUAUUUCUUGUUCCGUUUUCAAUGUGGCAAUCCAUUUACCGUAUCUGAGCUAUUUCAUAGCACAAGAAGUGCAACAUUACAACAAUGGAGCUAUUUCUUGAUCACAGCAAAAAUGUGUUUCUACAUUGUUUUACUCAAAUGAUGCAUGGAUGAGCCUUAUUGACAUAUUUGUUUUCAAGAGGAAUUGGUUGUAGGUUUUCUUUCUUUUUUCCUAAGGCAGGCCUAAUUUAACAGAAGGCCUAUAUUUUAGGUAGGAUAUUAUUUAUACUAUAGGCCCAUAUCAGUUUUGAGAUCAAUUUCCUCUUGAAGACAAUAAACGUCAAUCGAGUCUCUGCACCAUUUUGAUUGGGCGGUUUUGGGCUAAAAUACAGUACAAGAGAAUGCUCCAUUGGUGUUAACAGAUGUUUUGGUCCGCAAUCAGUUCUUGCCACCUUGAAAGCGGUCACGGUUACUUACGACUUGUACAUUGUUCAAUUGUUAUUAUGCUAUUGUCAUUUGCCUUUGCCCCCCCCCCCCAUCCUUAUCGACACUCAAGUGCACCACCCUCCAUCCCAUGCCCCGCAUGCGCACUGACCCAACCUCUGAUCCCUUGACACGCUUGCUCAAGCGGCUCAAGCGGCGUCAGCAGUAUCAACGUUGUGUUAUUGUAUUCCAAGUUUUGCAUUAUUCAUAUGUAUGUACUUGCCAAACAAAUGUUGUCAUAUCAUAACCUUCGUCUCUUGUCCUUCGGUCAAUAAGUGUGCGGAUCACUCCGAACAAGUUCGAUCAACACACUACACUAUCUUCACGUGCAACAAUUUACGGUCAGCCUUUUCUGAUUCCGCAUGCCCGCCACUAAAUCUAAGUUUUGUAGUAUAUAUUAUAUAC